rnacentral:rRNA from 1 species
UGGGGAAUAUUGGACAAUGGGCGCAAGCCUGAUCCAGCAAUGCCGCGUGUGUGAAGAAGGCCUUCGGGUUGUAAAGCACUUUUAUCAGGAGCGAAACGCUGUCGGCUAAUACCCGGCGGAACUGACGGUACCUGAGGAAUAAGCACCGGCUAACUUCGCGCCAGCAGCCGCGGUAAUACGAAGGGUGCAAGCGUUAAUCGGAAUUACUGGGCGUAAAGCGUGCGUAGGCGGUUUCUUAAGUCUGCUGUGAAAUCCCCGGGCUCAACCUGGGAAUGGCAGUGGAUACUGGGAGGCUAGAGUGUGUCAGAGGGUGGUGGAAUUCCCGGUGUAGCGGUGAAAUGCGUAGAGAUCGGGAGGAACAUCAGUGGCGAAGGCGGCCACCUGGGACAACACUGACGCUGAGGCACGAAAGCGUGGGGAGCAAACAGGAUUAGAUACCCUGGUAGUCCACGCCCUAAACGAUGCGAACUGGAUGUUGGUCUCAACUCGGAGAUCAGUGUCGAGGCUAACGCGUUAAGUUCGCCGCCUGGGGAGUACGGUCGCAAGACUG